ensembl:snoRNA
CCCUUCUCACUAAAGCACCCUGCUAAAACUGCAGGAGCCAAGCCUUACGGGUUUAGCUCAUGUGGCCGUGUAAGCAUGGGUACACCAGGGAAGGAGAUUGAAGGCACAGUGUUUGAAAUGAGGCUAUGGGGGGACCUUAAUGUCCAGUGUCCGUCGGCUCAAUAUCCUGUGUUACACAU